CCUACGGGAGGCAGCAGUGGGGAAUAUUGCACAAUGGGGGGAACCCUGAUGCAGCGACGCCGCGUGCGUGAAGAAGUAUUUCGGUAUGGAAAGCUCUAUCAGCAGGGAAGAAAAUGACGGUACCUGACUAAGAAGCCCCGGCUAACUACGUGCCAGCAGCCGCGGUAAUACGUAGGGGGCAAGCGUUAUCCGGAUUUACUGGGUGUAAAGGGAGCGCAGACGGCUGUGCAAGUCUGGAGUGAAAGGCGGGGGCCCAACCCCCGGAUUGCUCUGGAAACUGUAAAGCUGGAGUGCAGGAGAGGUAAGCGGAAUUCCUAGUGUAGCGGUGAAAUGCGUAGAUAUUAGGAGGAACACCAGUGGCGAAGGCGGCUUACUGGACUGCAACUGACGUUGAGGCUCGAAAGCGUGGGGAGCAAACAGGAUUAGAUACCCGUGUAGUC
rnacentral:rRNA from 1 species